rnacentral:lncRNA from 1 species
AUACAAGUUCUUUGUCGAAUACAUGUGCUAUGCAUCUUACCUCCCAGCCUGUGGUUUGCCUUUUUAAUUUCUUAAAGGAAUUUUUCGUGUUUUGAUUUUUUAAACUGUGAACGGUUUUAUAUAUAUUUUAGUAUUUUGCUUUGAUAUAACAAAUUCCUAUUCUUCACCUUCUAAACCUCUGGAGAUUUUUUUUUUUCUUUUCUUUUUAGGUAAAGUCAGGGACUGAUGGAGAGGAAGGGAUGAAUAGGCUAAACACAGAGGAUUUUUAAGACAGUGAAACGACUCUGUAUGAUACGAUAAUAGUGGAUACAUGUCAUUAUACAUUUGCCAAAACUCAUAGGAUGUACAACACCAGUAGUGAACCUGACUAUAAACUUGGACUCUGGAUGAUAAUGAGGUGUCAAUGUCGAUUCAUGCAUUGUAACAAAUGCACCACUCUGGUGGGGGAUGUUGGUAGUGGGGGGAGUGGCAGGAGGAGGCCAAGGGGUACAGAGGAAAUCUCUAUUCUUUCAGCUCAAUUUUGCUGUGAAACGAAGACUGUUCUAAAAGUAAAAUCUAGGUAAAAAAAUAUAAAGGAAAGUAUUACCAUUUACAACCACAUAUUCAUAUAAAUAUAGAUUUUAUAACUAUUCUCAUUUACUGACUUUAUAAUAAGUAAACAUUAAACAGUUUUCCAAUAAAGUAACACCUUUAACUUUUUAUAUAUCAGCAUGUCCUAUUAAACUUCAUUUACAUGAACGCUUCAGCUAUUAAAACAAAGAAAACAAUGUUAAAGAAGUACAAAAGAAAUAUAGGUAUGCCUAAGUUACUGUGUCAUUUAAUCCACUCUGGUUUCCCAUGAGAAAUGUAUUCAUUCUCUUCAUGCUUGUAAUCUCUGAUCCACCUUCAACCAAAUAAAAACACUUCUAUAUGUAUGCAAACAACCUCGCCAUGUAAUUCAAUUAUAGAACACGGAUGGCAAAUGCUCCAGAAGGUCCCUGGAAUCUCAAUCAGUUUGUACCAUUCUUGUGGCCUGGGCUCCUUUAUUAAGUCAUUCAAUACCAGUCAUUCACAACCUCAGGAGUCCCUUCAAGGCCUCAAUGAGAGCAGCUACUAGGUCCCAAGGUUCCAGAACUUGUCCACAGGACAGAUUGAGCUCUCCUCGCUGGGAAAGCCUGUGUGAGUAUUAUUCAUUUAGUGUAUUUGGGAUACAUUGAUCAAGGGUCAAAAGUGGGUUGAAGCACACGUCAACCAAACUCUUGCAGUCUCCUCGUCUCUCAUAAAUUCUCCUGUGAACCACAAAAAAUUUAAUUUCCCAAAUAGAAGAGCUGCCUUUUUUUUUUUUUCAUAUCAGAGGUGUGUUCUACAAUAAAACAAAAGAACAGUUCCCUUUGUGUCUCAGUAGUAACAAACCCAACCAGAAUUCAUGAGGACACAGAUUUGCUCCCUGGCCUCACUCAGUGGGUUAAGGGUCCGGCAUUGCUGUGAGCUGUGGUGUAGGUCACAGACGAGGCUCGGAUCCAGUGCUGCUGUGGCUGUGGUGUAGGCUGGCAGCUGUAGCUCUGAUUCGACCCCCAGCCUGGGAAUUUCCAUAUGCUACGGGUGCAGCCCUGAAAAGCCAAAAAUAAAAAAUAAAAAAAUAAAAAAAUAAUAGUAAUUAAAUUAAAUAAGAGGGAGAAAAUUGAAUAUGGACAAUAUUACUCUUGCGAAUUCCUUACAUUUUCCAUAAAGUAUACUAAGUUUAGUGAAUGUAGUUCUGCAUAUUAUUAUAUAAGUACAAAUGGAUACUAUAUAUACAUCUACACACAAUGUAUAUGUGUAUAUAUACCUUUAACAUACACACGUUCAUACAUUUUUAUGUAUGAUAUACAUACAUAAAAUGGUUAUAUAUAGUACAAAGUGAUGGUGAGGAAGAUACGGAGCAAUGAAAAUUCUAAUAGCUUGUUGGAAUUCCCACUGAGGCUCAGCAGUAACAAACCCAACUAGUAUCCAUGAGGAUUCAAGUUCAAUCUCUGGUCCAGCUCAGUGGUUAAGGAUCUGUCAUUGCCUUGAGCUAUAGUGUAGUUUACAGAUGUGGCUCAGAUCCCACGUUGUUGUGGCUGUGGUGUAGGCCAGCAGCUGUAGCUCUGAUUCAACCCCUAGCCUGGGAAUUUCCAUAUGCUGCGGGUGCAGCUCUAAAAAGCAGGAGAAAAAAAUUCCUUGUAGCUUGUUGAUGAGACUGCAAAUAAGAACAACCCCUCUGAGAGUCUGGCACUGCCUAAUAAAUUUGAACAAGCCAGAUACACCAUUCCCAAGUACAAACCCUAGAUAAAUCCUUGUACUGGUACACCAGGAGCCAUGGAAGAAAGCUCACACCAGCAUUGCUCAGGGAGGUAAGAAACUUUGAAGCACACGAAUGUCUGUGGACAGUAGAGUGUCUGUAGGUAAAUGAGGGGUAGUGGUGCAGGGGAAUAGUGUGUAGCAGCUAAGUGCAUUGACUGAAGCUCCCAACCCAACCGGAAGCCAAAGAGGAAAGUCAUAAAAAUACGCACAGUAAGAAUUCAUUUCUGUAACAUUCAAGCCCACAAAACCCCACAAUCUAGUAUUUAGAGAUAAGUGAAUAGGUGGGAAAACGAUAAAGAAAGCCAAAGGAAUGAUGUCAUACAAGUCAGGGUAAUGUUUGCCUAUGGAAAGAAAGGGGCUGUGAUGGGGAAGGGAUGCAGGAGGCUUUAAGUCACAGGCUCCGAUCUGUUUCUUAACCUGGCUGGAGGCCUCCGAGGUCAUUUUCUUCAUCUUUAAAUUGCAUGACUUCUUUAAAUUGUGUGUGUGCGUGUGUGUGCACACACGUGCACACACACGUGGCCUCUAUACUCUUUGACCUAUUUUACAAUGUAACAGACACACUCCCAUACAUUGUAGUUGACAUGGAAAACAUUUCACCACAUACUUCCAUCAGUGUUGCCAUGCAAACUACAAUCUACAGGACUGUACCUCUUUAUACUACAGUCACUGGCAACCAAGGAAAGGCUUAACUCUGGGAUGUACAAGGAAGGAGACUUGAGAACAACCAAGUAAACAGUACUUCAUGUCUCCCAUCUCUGGCUUUCUCUGGGGCAUGGAUGGGCUCCUUGUGUGGGAUGGCUGCUGAAAUGAGUAGCAUUAUUUAAAUGGUUUUCUCCAGAAAGCCUUUAGCAAGAUUCCUGUAAGUUCAACGUGCAUCUGAGAAAACCCCCCAAUGAUAGGGUCCUCAUAGCUGUUCAUCUAGUCACCUACAUGUCCCAAUGCCCAAGGUCCACAGGUGUUGCUGGCUGGGCACAGACUCAAGACCCCUCAGUGAGCUCUUUCAUCCAAUAAAGGGGACUGCCACUUAAUCCCUUGAUACCUAUAUGCAUAAUAAAGUCAAAUAUCCUUUACUCUCCUUUCUCUUGUUUUUACAUUUUUUUCUUUGCAAUAAGACCCCCAGAGCUAGUUCCUUGGAGAGUAGGCUCUUUGACAGCAGGCGCUAUCUUCUUUAUGUUUAUACCCAACUUGGUGCCUGCACACGGAAUCAUCAGUUCUGCAUUGUGGUCCUCUUCACUGCCUGUCUCUACAGUAGGCAUCCCUCAGGCUCUAUUUCUGGACACCAUCACUUGUUCUCAGUUGCCUUUGAAUGCUUUCUUCCUGCCCCUGCCUGUCUGCCCUCUCGUUGCACGUCCCCACUUGUAGGAUUCUUCUUUCCAACUGGAAGUCUCCUUCCUUGUUGCCCUGUGACCCACUCAUUUCUUGAGUCCUUCCUCUAGGCCAGUUCUGUAUUAAGUGCUUUCCAUACCUUAAAAUUAAGUCCUCGUCAACCUGCAUGCAGGUGUUAUUAUCCAUAUUUUAUAGAAGAAGAUAUUGGCAGAAAAAGGGGUUAUGAAAUUUAUCAACCCAGGGCAUAGCCACCUCAAGGCUGAUGUACCCAAAAAUCCACCCCACUCUUUGGCUUCUCACCAUUUGCACAGAAAGCUUGCUGUGGCCCCCAACUCUCUCCGCCCCGCUGACCAUAUGUUGCUAUCUGCUCUGCCAGCAAGAUCUAUCUGACUUGUGAUGAGAACAUCAUGAGUAGCUAGCAAGACUCACUCCUGCCAUAGUUCCAACCUACCCUGCCAUUCUCCAGUUCAAACCCCAAGUGAUCUACAUCUUUUCUCAGACCUGUCAAAUCUGUUCGGUGGCUUGCUAAUGCAGACACAGUGUCUCCUACAGCCAGUGUUUCAUUUCUUGAAGAGAAUGAACACAGCCUUUAGCUUUGGCCUGAUCUAUUCAAUCAUCUCAAUUUCUCCCAGUGGCUCUGGUCCUGUUCCCUCUGAUACACUGUCCAAAAUAAAUCCAAUUUCUCUGCUGAUCUGAAACUCACAUCAAACUCCUUCCUUCCAGGCAUGUGAAUUACUACAAAUAUGUCCCUUGGGUCCAUCCCAUUUGAGCUACCUGACUCACGGGGCUGACAACUUUGUCUCUCGGAAAGAAAAGGACGUGAGAACAGAGCCGCUAGUCUGGACUUAAUUCCAACCAACACGGAAGAACAAAUUGGUAAAGCAGAAGUGACGGGAACCUUGGGAGAAAGCGACUGUGUCAUGUUGGAGGUUGUUAUUGUGAACGAAAGAAACACUGGAGAGAGUCAGACGUGUCAACUUUGGAGAAGCAGGUUUCAAAACAUUCUGAUCAGACUGGUGCCACAGACAAACUCGAAAAGAACAGUGACCAUAUUUCCAAAGCAAAAAUCGGGAUAUGACAGAGGCCAACAGAUUUUAUAUUGCAGCUGGUGCUAUGGGAACUCCAAGGAAAAGAAGUUUAGAGGCCAGAGCAAUGAUUUUAGCACACAUUUCAAUAAUCUGUGGGAAUAACUGGACCAAGUAUCUAAAAUAGUGAACGUCUCAAAUUUUAUAAUAUGAGAAUUCUGCAAGAGAUAUUGGGAGGACCUAAAAUGAGAAAUUCUCAGGAUGCAAUCACAGUUGAUCUCAGUUAUAAAGACAUCCAAAGAAAUCAAAAAAUCGGCACGGGGAACCCUUUGGUGAAUACAGAUUUCAAAAGGAUGUGGGGGUGGGAGUGAGUCAAAAGGAAGAUGUGAAAGAAAGGAUGACCUUGACUUAGAAACAGAAAAAAACACCAACUCAGAUUUACCCAGAGGAAGAAAGCGUAUCACAGAAGUUCACGAGGUAAAGGGGGGGGCAGAGAUGGUAUAAACGGGCAACUGCCUUUGACGUCCUUAAUCUAACCU